AAUGUGAUUCCUGCCAGUGUUUCAUCGACUGCAAACAGCCAGAGCUGCUUUCGUCCGAAGCAGAAGCUGCACUCGGGUGAUGCAGCAGCCUUUGAGAAUUUUAAGAUCGAUGACGUUUGAGUUGUUGGUUUUUGUUUUUGUUUUUGUUUGCUUAGCAUCUGCGUCUUUCCAGCUCCGUUGGGUUUUGGUUCAGCAGCGGAUCCUGUGCCUCGAAAGCAGUAUACAACCUAGACCCUUACAUCAUUGCUGACUUUGCUGACCUAAAGGAGCCGCCCUUCUUGCAAAGCCCAGCAUGCAUGCUCCUCUAGUCCCAGGGUCCUUGCCUUCCACCACUCAGACUGAUCUUCCAGUCCCACUGAAGAAAUUUUAUCAGGGUGAACCUCUGGCCCUGGGGAUCACACAGAUAUUCAUAGGAAUCAUAGGAAUGAUUUUUGGGAUCCUGCUUGAUAUAAUGAAUGAUUAUUUCAUCAUCUAUAGUGUUAUAAAGAUCGCUUAUUGGAGUGGCAUCUUGUACAUCAUCUCUAGAUCCUUAGCUGUGGCAGCUGCUCGGAAUCCCAAGAUCCCUCUGGUGCAAGGUGCGCUGGCAAUGAAUGUGAUAAGUGCUGUAUCAGCUGGUAUUGGCAUCAUAUUCCUGUCUUCCAGUAUCACCAUCAGUUUUUCAUAUCAUUUCAUGUUCCUUUGCCGUGAAUUUGAACACAAUUAUGAAGAAAAGUGUUAUGAAAGUCUUGCAAAACAGAGCCUGCAUAUCUAAUCCAGGUCAUCUUCCUUACUCUAGAACUGGAGAUACAUAUGCCUAUCUCUAUUUAUAAAAAUAGAUAUGUUUCUCUUCUACUUCAUCGAUAGCAUAUCAUUCAAGGAAUUUUGGCUGUUCUUCUUAUAUUCACCAUCCUGGAGUUUUGCAUCACCAUCUCUGUUGCAUCAUUUGGCUGUAAAAUGCUUUGCCGAAAUGCCCUCACUGAAACGGUUGUCGUCAUUUAUGAGAAUGUGACUCCUGCCAGUGUUGAACAUCCAUCCAUUGACUGCAAACAGCCAGAGUUCCCUUGAGUUGCUUUUCCUUCUUGGCAGCUAUUCUGGAAUACAUUGGCUCCUGCAAAAUUGAAGACUUGAGCUUUUUAAGGAUUUGCACGGAACUUUUUACUCAGCGGAACCUAAAACAUUUAGUGGGCUAAGCCAAACACCAUGUGUAAAAGAUCUUGACAAUGUGAAUGUUCUGAUUGCUGGUUAAGACAUGUCUCUGUGAACUGGUUGGCACCUUGUCCCAACCUUGUUAUGUUUUGCUUUUGGAAAAUGCACAAUUGGUCGAGUUUAUACAACACAUUAUGGAUAAGCUAUUGUUUCCACUUUACAAUGGUUGUGUCAUAUAUUUUGUUGCACUCAGCUACACUCAUACAACCAAUUAUGCUAGUUGUGUGAAAUCAUCUAAUGCUUGCAACACACUCCAGAAUUUUAUUUGUGGGAUGUAACAAUGACCCUGGGAAGCCUUCAUAUAAAAGUCUCAACAGCUGUAUAUUCCAAUGAAAACUAAAGAGUCAAAUUUAUAGCCAUAAUUUAAAAUUUUAACUGUUUGUUCUAGUGGUUAAGAUACUAAGCGAGAAACCAGGAGACUGUGAGUUCUAGUCCCGCCUUAUAAAGAAAAGCCAGCUGGGCGACUCUGGGCCAUUCUCUCUCUCAGCCCAACUAAUUUCAUAGGGUUGUUGUGGGGAAAGCAGGAAGAGGAAGGAAUAUUAGCUAUGUUUGCUGCCUUAAAUCAUUUAUAAAAAUAAUGAAGAUAGGAUAUAAAUGUAUACAGAAGACAAAACGGGUUUCCUUGCCACUUGACUUUCCAUCAAGGCUGCCUUCUGCCCAUCCAGCUUAUCUCACUGUUUUAUUUUAGGCAAGACUGCAUUCCAGACAAAUAAUAAUAAACUGCUGAGCACAUAUUGCUUGCUGUUUUUAUUUUCUCUAAGUUCCACAGAAAUAAAGAGGGACAUAGGGGUGUGUGCGUGUGUGUGUGUGUGUCAUUGUUUGGGAUACUCUCUCUCUUUUCUCUCUCAUUUUGCUGGCCCUGGUGCUUAACAACAAAGAAGAGUGUGGAAGGCUUAAAAGAUACCCAGAUGUUGCAAUGUGUCCACAGUUAACAAAGAUCAGGCAAAAUAAUAAUAACAAUGUGUGAGACCAUAUGAAGCAUUUCUUUCUGGGGAAGCAGCACCAGCCAUAUUAAACCAGAAAAGGAUGCAGUUGCUUUAAAGAGAGGAAGUGAUGUCUUUAUCCAGAUUCCUCAUGGCAAUGGAACCAAAAGUGCUUCUGAGCCUUAUUUGAAACAAGGAGAGAUAGAAGCAUUCAAGAAGCUGUUGGCAAGCUGAGAAUUUGUAUUGUGAACUGUGGAAUGAGAAAUACACAGAAACAAGUGGCUUAAAAUUUCAUUAUAUGUUUCUUUAGGUUGUCGUCAUCAGAAUGUGAUUCCUGCCAGAGUUUCAUCGAGUGCAAACAGCUAGAGCUGCUUUCGUCCGAAGCAGAAGCUGCAUUCGGGUGAUGCAACAGCCUUUGAGAAUUUUAAGAUCGAUGACGUUUGAGUUGUUGGUUUUUGUUUUUGUUUUUGUUUGCUUAGCAUCUGCGUGUUUCCAGCUUCAUUGGGUUUAGGUUCAGCAGCGGAUCCUGUGCCUCGAAAGCAGUAUACAACCUAGACCCUUACAUGUAAGUAACAUAUAAAUAUGAAUCAUUCCUAAUUUUUAACAAGAGAGGCACCGUCAUUCCAGAUGGGGUGUGGUUUUGAAUACUGCCUGCAUCCCGAGGGUGGAGCUUUGCUUGUUUGUGCAACCCUCUUGCUGGCAUACUGCGGACUGGUGCUGGUCCACGGACCAAGGGUCGAGGACCCCUGUCCUAAGGCUGCUGGGUCCCCUUUCGACAUUCCCCAAGAGUUUCUCCACUGCAGGGCCAGCCUGAAGCACUGCCCAUGCUUCGGCUAACGUGCCGGGCCAUCUACUCGGUUGCCGAAA